rnacentral:rRNA from 1 species
CACGUAGGGUGCGAGCGUUGUCCGGAAUUAUUGGGCGUAAAGAGCUCGUAGGCGGUGUGUCGCGUCGGCCGUGAAAACCUGCGGCUUAACUGUGGGCUUGCGGUGGAUACGGGCAGACUUGAGUUCGGUAGGGGAGACUGGAAUUCCUGGUGUAGCGGUGAAAUGCGCAGAUAUCAGGAGGAACACCAAUUGCGAAGGCAGCUCGCUGGGACGUAACUGACGCUGAGACGCGAAAGCGUGGGGAGCAAACAGG